rnacentral:lncRNA from 1 species
AAAUGGUGCACGUCUCGGCCAGGGCUGUGCAUGGCUGUAAGCGCGGCUGAGCGCAUAUGCAGCCGCGCUCCCUGCUUUAGAGGUAACCUGCCACGUGUGCUAUGAGUAGGCGCGCCAAGAGAGC